AUGCUGCAAUCGGUUGCAAUCAGCGCAACCGCGGGACCCGUACCACCACCUCCGCGCUCAGUCCUCCUUAACGACCACCGCCGUAGUUCUUCACUGAUCCACACGAGUCUGCCUCCGAUAGGUCGCCGACAACCGCCAGACCAUGAAAUCUACAUCUUCCCUCUCCGACGAAGCCUUUCCUCUUCUACCUCUCCGUGCUACCAUCAGGGCCUAACAGGUGGAUGGGUUAGGAGCUUCCUCCUGAAUAUGAGCUUCUUGUUUUGCUUGGGCAGCUGUAAUGAGGUUUUUUGGCCAGACCUGUGA